rnacentral:misc_RNA from 1 species
AAGUCGUAACAAGGUCUCCGUAGGUGAACCUGCGGAGGGAUCAUUACUGAGUGAGGGCGUCAACGCCCGACCUCCAACCCAUUUGCUUGAAUCCGAAACCAUCCUGUUGUCCCUCGGGGGCGGACCGGCCUUCCGGGCUUGUGCGGGGCCCUCGGUGGACCACAUAUCAACUCUGCGUCUUUGCGUCCGAGUCUUAUGAUAAAUCAAUCAAAA